rnacentral:rRNA from 1 species
UACAGAGGUCCCAAGCGUUGUUCGGAUUCACUGGGCGUAAAGGGUGCGUAGGUGGUGAGGUAAGUCGGAUGUGAAAUCUCCGAGCUCAACUCGGAAAUGGCAUUGGAAACUACCUUGCUCGAGGGUUGGAGGGGGGACUGGAAUGCUUGGUGUAGCAGUGAAAUGCGUAGAUAUCAAGCGGAACACCAGUGGCGAAGGCGAGUCCCUGGAAAAAUACUGACGCUGAGGCACGAAAGCUAGGGGAGCAAACAGG